UACGGGGGGGGCAAGCGUUGUUCGGAAUUACUGGGCGUAAAGGGCUCGUAGGCGGCCAACUAAGUCAGACGUGAAAUCCCUAGGCUCAACCUAGGAACUGCGUCUGAUACUGGAUGGCUUGAAUCCGGGAGAGGGAUGCAGAAUUCCAGGUGUAGCGGUGAAAUGCGUAGAUAUCUGGAGGAAUACCGGUGGCGAAGGCGGCAUCCUGGACCGGCACUGACGCUGAGGCGCGAAAGCGUGGGGAGCAAACAGG
rnacentral:rRNA from 1 species